rnacentral:sRNA from 1 species
AAGUUGUUCUACGUCUCAAUGGCAAUUUUUAGCGCGGGGCUCCUUGAUUGAGCCAUUUUUCCCUAGGCCGAGUAUAGGAAUCGACUCGGCCUCUUUUU